rnacentral:rRNA from 1 species
UACGAAGGGGGCUAGCGUUGUUCGGAAUUACUGGGCGUAAAGCGCACGUAGGCGGGUCGUUAAGUCAGGGGUGAAAUCCCGGAGCUCAACUCCGGAACUGCCUUUGAUACUGGCGAUCUUGAGAUCGGAAGAGGUGAGUGGAAUUCCAGGUGUAGCGGUGAAAUGCGUAGAUAUCUGGAGGAAUACCGGUGGCGAAGGCGGCAUCCUGGACCGGCAUUGACGCUGAGGAGCGAAAGCCAGGGGAGCAAACGGG